GGCCGUAACGGAUCAACCCUCACACGAAACGAUCCAAUCGCACGAUCGGCAUUGACCUCUUCCCCAGUCCAAGCCAAAAACGACCCCGCGCCGCCGUCCUCCCCGAUCGCCUCUCCCCCGCCGAUCUGCUCCCAAGAGCAAGAGGUGAACCCCCAUCCCCAGCCGAGCGAAUCAACGCGGGGUUCUUCUCGGCCUCUCGCGAUCUCACCACACUGUAACGAACCCGCCUUGUCCCCCGCCGCAGGACCCGCGUCCCCGGCCGGAGUAUAUCCCCAUGGCUCUGCCGUCGAGGCUGGCGUAGCUGCAGGCGAAGGCGUGCGAGGCGACAUGGUUCGCCGCGAAGCACGGGUGCACGUACCAGCGGUCGCUCGUCGAGAAGAACAAGAAGUACGUCGUGGAGCCCCCCACCAUCGAGAAGUGCCAGGAGCUCUCCAGGCAGCUCUUCUACACCCGCCUCGCCAGGUGCUCUCCGUUGCUGUGCACAAUCACUACAAGAGGAUAUACAACGAGUCAUCAAAGAAAUGUUCCUCGAAAAGCUUUGUGCAUGGUGGUGUUGGUACCAGUGGGGAUGAUGAGAUUGAGCUUGAAAAGAGUAACAUCCUUCUGAUUGGACCAACUGGGUCAGGUAAAACACUAUUAGCAAAAACAUUAGCUCGCUAUUUGAAUGUGCCAUUCGUGAUUGCUGAUGCAACAGCAAUCACACAGGCUGGAUAUUCUGGUGAAGAUGUGGAAUCUGUAAUUUACAAACUUCUAGUGGCAGCUGACUUCAACGUUGAAGCUGCAGAGCGCGGCAUUGUGUACAUUGACGAAGUUGAUAAGCUAACAAAGAAGGCUGAAUGCCGUGAGGACCGAAGGGAUUUCUCUGGAGAGGGUGUGCAGCAAGCAUUAUUAAAAAUAUUUGAAGGAACAGUCAUCAAUGUGCCAAGAAAAAGAAGUCGAGAUAAUGUACCCUAUGGUUAUAUUGAGGUAGAUACAAGAAAUAUCCUUUUCAUUUGUGGAGGAUUUAUAUUUUUCUCAAAGUACUUUUGUACUGCGCAAGACAUCAACUAUGUCCUGUUGGAUUUGGCAUACCAAUAUGUCAUGAGCUGCGGAACUGCGGCUGGACAACUGCUCUUCAGGGAUCUUGCUCUAUUGAUGCUGUUGAAAGUGAUGAUCUAAUUGCCUAUGGCCUUAUCCCAGAAUUCAUCGGAAGGUUGCCUAUAACAGUUGGCCUGACAAAUCUCAGUGAAGAGCAAUUGGUCCAGGUGCUCAGGGAGCCGAAAAAUGCAAUAGGAAAGCAAUACAAGAAGUUGUUCAAAAUGAACAAUGCCUACACCAGGGGUCAGCAUUGAGCCCUUAUUUAUUUGCUUUAGUGGUGGAUGAGGUCACAAGGGAUAUACAAGGUCAAGUUGCAUUUCACUGAAAAUGCUUUGCAUCUAAUAGCAAAGAAAGCAGCUGCAAAAGAAAUGGGGGCUCGUGGGCUACGAUCUAUAAUGGAGGACAUUCUGACAGAAGCGAUGUUUGAGAUUCCUGAUGCAAGGGAGGGGAAAGAGAAGAUAAUUGCUGUUCUUGUCGAUGAAGAGUCCGUAGGGCCAUUGCACCAUCGAGGAUGUGGAGCCAAAAUUUUCCGGGACGAUGGAGCCUUGGAACUGUAUGUAUACCAGAAUAACAUCAAGCUUCCCGGGCUAAUUCAGAGCAACCUCAGCGGCAGUCGCGUUUUCCGGAUCUGCCUACUAGUCGCAUUAUCAGCAAUUAAGCUCUGAAUCUACCAGAUGUUUCCUUGUUUUUCAUCGAUAUAUGAAUGGAUUGUACUGAUGCUGUGGAAGGCUAAUAUUUUUACGCAGUGAAAUAUAACAAGGUUUUACUAUCGUGCCAGCUGCUGAGAUAGUAAAUAGAAUGGUUGAUUGGCUGGAGCUCA